rnacentral:rRNA from 1 species
AGAGCGAACGCUGGCGGCAGGCCUAACACAUGCAAGUCGAACGGACCCUUCGGGGUUAGUGGCGGACGGGUGAGUAACACGUGGGAACGUGCCUUUUGGUUCGGAAUAGCUCCUGGAAACGGGUGGUAAUGCCGAAUGUGCCCUUCGGGGGAAAGAUUUAUCGCCAUUAGAGCGGCCCGCGUCUGAUUAGCUAGUUGGUAAGGUAAUGGCUUACCAAGGCGACGAUCAGUAGCUGGUCUGAGAGGGUGACCGGCCACACUGGGACUGAGACACGGCCCAGACUCCUACGGGAGGCAGCAGUGGGGAAUAUUGCACAAUGGGCGCAGGCCUGAUGCAGCAACGCCGCGUGAGGGAUGACGGCCUUGGGUGUAACUCUUUAGCAGGAAGAAGCGAGAGUGACGGACUGACAAGAAAAGCACCGGACUAACUACGUGCCAGCAGCCGC